GUGCUCGCAUCGGCAGCAAAUAUGCUAAAAUUGGAAUGAUACAGAGAAGAUUAGCAUGGCCCCUGUGCAAGGAUGACAUGCAAAUUCGUGAAGUGUUCCAUAUUUUU
ensembl:snRNA U6 U6 spliceosomal RNA